UAACGCAGCUAACGCGUGAAGUAGACCGCCUGGGGAGUACGGUCGCAAGAUUAAAACUCAAAUGAAUUGACGGGGGCCCGCACAAGCGGUGGAUUAUGUGGAUUAAUUCGAUGCAACGCGAAAAACCUUACCUGGCCUUGACAUGUAACGAAUUUACCAGAGAUGGUUUAGUGCUCGAAAGAGAACGGUAACACAGGUGCUGCAUGGCUGUCGUCAGCUCGUGUCGUGAGAUGUUGGGUUAAGUCCCGCAACGAGCGCAACCCUUGCCAUUAAUUGCCAUCAUUUAGUUGGGCACUUUAAUGGGACUGCCGGUGACAAACCGGAGGAAGGUGGGGAUGACGUCAAGUCCUCAUGGCCCUUAUGGCCAGGGCUUCACACGUAAUACAAUGGUCGGUACAGAGGGUUGCCAAGCCGCGAGGUGGAGCCAAUCCCAGAAAGCCGAUCGUAGUCCGGAUUGUAGUCUGCAACUCGACUACAUGAAGUCGGAAUCGCUAGUAAUCGCGGAUCAGCAUGUCGCGGUGAAUACGUUCCCGGGCCUUGUACACACCGCCCGUCACACCAUGGGAGUGGGUUUUACCAGAAGUA
rnacentral:rRNA from 1 species